AACUUUCAACAACGGAUCUCUUGGUUCUGGCAUCGAUGAAGAACGCAGCGAAAUGCGAUAAGUAAUGUGAAUUGCAGAAUUCAGUGAAUCAUCGAAUCUUUGAACGCACAUUGCGCCCGCCAGUAAUUCUGGCGGGCAUGCCUGUCCGAGCGUCAUUU
rnacentral:rRNA from 1 species